GUGAGUAGUUCAGAGUUUGAUCCUGGCUCAGGGUGAACGCUGGCGGCGUGCCUAACACAUGCAAGUCGAACGAAGCACUUGAGAUCUUCGGAAGGAUGGUGACUGAGUGGCGGACGGGUGAGUAACGCGUGGGUAACCUGCCUCAUACAGGGGGAUAACAGUUAGAAAUGACUGCUAAUACCGCAUAAGCCUACAGUACCGCAUGGUACAGCAGGAAAAACUCCGGUGGUAUGAGAUGGACCCGCGUCUGAUUAGCUAGUUGGUGGGGUAACGGCCUACCAAGGCGACGAUCAGUAGCCGACCUGAGAGGGUGACCGGCCACAUUGGGACUGAGACACGGCCCAA
rnacentral:rRNA from 1 species